rnacentral:rRNA from 1 species
AACGCGAAGAACCUUACCAGCCCUUGACAUGUCCAGGACCGGUCGCAGAGAUGUGACCUUCUCUUCGGAGCCUGGAGCACAGGUGCUGGAUGGCUGUAGUCAGCUCGUGUAGAGAUAUGUUGGGUUAACUCCCGCAACGCGCGCAUCCCCCGUACUUAGGUGCUACCAUUUAGGUGCUCUCUAUAAAGAGACUGCCGGAGAUAACCCGGGAGGGAGGGGGGGAUGACAUCAAGUCCUGAUGGUCCUUACGGGCUGGGCUACACACCUGCUACAAUGGCGAGAACGGUGGGACACAAAGGCGCGAGCCCUAUCUAAUAUAAAAAAGCCGUCUCAGUUCGGAUUGGGCUCUGCAACUCCAGCCCAUGAAGAUGGAAUCGCUAUUAAUCGUGGAUCAGCCUGCCAGGGAAAAUACCUCCCCGGGUCUUGUACACAC